rnacentral:rRNA from 1 species
AGGAUGAACGCUAGCGGCAGGCUUAACACAUGCAAGUCGAGGGGCAGCACGUCUUCGGAUGGUGGCGACCGGCGCACGGGUGAGUAACGCGUAUGCAAUCUACCUUUUACUGGGGCAUAGCCCGGGGAAACCCGGAUUAAUAUCCCAUGGUACCAUGAUAUAGCAUUAUAUUUUGGUUAAAGCUUCGGCGGUAAAAAGAUGAGCAUGCGUCCUAUUAGCUUGAUGGUAAGGUAACGGCUUACCAUGGCUUUGAUAGGUAGGGUCCUGAGAGGGAGACCCCCCCACACUGGUACUGAGACACGGACCAGACUCCUACGGGAGCAGCAGUGAGAAUAUUAGGACAAUGGGCGAGAGCCUGAUCCAGCCAUCGCCGCGUGCCGAAGGAAAGACCGGGCCCCUAAGUGGGUUUAGUAAAACUGUCUUUUUUAAGUAACGGGAAAUAACACCUCCCCUCGUGAGGGUAAUUUGACGGUACCUAUAGAAUAAGGAUUGGCUAACUCCGUGCCAGCAGCCGACGUAA